rnacentral:tRNA from 1 species
GAAGGCAUAGCUCAGUGGUAGAGUGCGUGCCUAGCAUGCACAAGGUCCUGGGUUUGAUCCCCAGUAUCUUCA